rnacentral:rRNA from 1 species
UACGUAGGUGGCAAGCGUUGUCCGGAUUUACUGGGCGUAAAGGAUGCGUAGGCGGACAUUUAAGUCAGAUGUGAAAUACCCGAGCUUAACUUGGGUGCUGCAUUUGAAACUGGGUGUCUAGAGUGCAGGAGAGGUAAGUGGAAUUCCUAGUGUAGCGGUGAAAUGCGUAGAGAUUAGGAAGAACACCAGUGGCGAAGGCGGCUCACUGGACCGGUAUUGACGCUCAGGCGCGACAGCGUGGGGAUCAAACAGG